AUUGUAAUACCGACCGUCGAUGCGUCGAACCAUCCCGGUCGGACGUGCAUUCAGGCAUUCUCGUCCGACCGGGAUGGUUCGACGCAUCGACGGUCGGUACUACAGAAGCG
rnacentral:pre_miRNA from 1 species